ensembl:snoRNA SNORA29 small nucleolar RNA, H/ACA box 29
UUUCCCAUUUGACUACCACAUUUUCUCCCAAUAAUAGAUUUUGGUGGCUAUGCUUAUGGGAUAGAUAAAAAUUGCCGUGAUCUGACGAGGGAGGACUUACUUGUGUCCUCCUCCUGUAUGAAAUGGCUGAACAAAAAAUU